UACGGAGGGUGCAAGCGUUAUCCGGAAUCACUGGGUUUAAAGGGUGCGUAGGCGGUCAGAUAAGUCAGUUGUGAAAUACCCCGGCUUAACCGGCGGAACGGCGAUUGAUACUGUUUGACUUGAAUCAGGUUGAGGUAGGCGGAAUGUGGCAUGUAGCGGUGAAAUGCUUAGAUAUGCCAUAGAACACCGAUUGCGAAGGCAGCUUGCUGGACCUGUAUUGACGCUGAGGCACGAAAGCGUGGGGAGCAAACAGG
rnacentral:rRNA from 1 species